AAGGCCCAUUUCUUCUCAAAUUAGUCGGCCCAUUCGAAAUAAAAGAAAAGGCCCAAACAAAUGAAAUAAUAUCAAGCCCAAACUCUCUCUCUCUCUUUCAAAACUGUCGGUCUCUCUCUCUAGCUCAAGCAUCAGUCGAGCUCUCUCUUUCUCCCUCAAACAUCAGUCGAGAAUUCCCCUCUCGACAUCAGUCGCGAUUUCAUG
rnacentral:lncRNA from 1 species